rnacentral:rRNA from 1 species
UACAGGGGGGGCAAGCGUUGUUCGGAUUUAUUGGGCGUAAAGGGUGCGUAGGCGGCGGAGUAAGUUGGGUGUGAAAUCCCGGGGCUCAACCUCGGAAUGGCAUUCAAUACUGCUUCGCUAGAGUACUGGAGAGGAGGCUGGAAUUUACGGUGUAGCAGUGAAAUGCGUAGAUAUCGUAAGGAAGGCCGGUGGCGAAAGCGAGCCUCUGGACAGUUACUGACGCUGAUGCACGAAGGCCAGGGGAGCAAACGGG